UAGGGAAUCUUCGGCAAUGGACGAAAGUCUGACCGAGCAACGCCGCGUGAGUGAAGAAGGUUUUCGGAUCGUAAAACUCUGUUGUUAGAGAAGAACAAGGACGUUAGUAACUGAACGUCCCCUGACGGUAUCUAACCAGAAAGCCACGGCUAACUACGUGCCAGCAGCCGCGGUAAUACGUAGGUGGCAAGCGUUGUCCGGUUUUAUUGGGCGUAAAGCGAGCGCAGGCGGUUUCUUAAGUCUGAUGUGAAAGCCCCCGGCUCAACCGGGGAGGGUCAUUGGAAACUGGGAGACUUGAGUGCAGAAGAGGAGAGUGGAAUUCCAUGUGUAGCGGUGAAAUGCGUAGAUAUAUGGAGGAACACCAGUGGCGAAGGCGGCUCUCUGGUCUGUAACAGACGCUGAGGCUCGAAAGCGUGGGGAGCAAACAGG
rnacentral:rRNA from 1 species